GGCCUCGUAACUCAGUUGGCUAGAGCGUUGGCUGUACUAAAGCCUUCCCCUUGCUUGCAUGGGUUCGAAUCCCACCGAGGCCG
rnacentral:tRNA from 1 species